AAAGAAGCUCCUCCAAAAAUUGAUUGUCUUGAAAAUUUCACCUACUUAGCCUCCUGGGAAACUGAAAGGUUUGAUGCAAGUUUGAUAGAUUGCACGAUUCUGAUCUUUGUGGCUUUUUCUGAUAUAACCAAGAGAUCAAAGAACUCACGUAUUAGUUGCAUACCUCUAGUCAUAUCUGUUAUAAGCUCACCUUCACCAGGUACAGAAUCAAUCCACCAAUUCAAUUUCCGGCCAUACUAUCAAAAUCUGUUGUAUAAAGGGAAAAUAAAAAUGACACACAUAAUUUGACAUCAACUAAACAUGAACUAUUGUAUCUUGGAGGAUAUUUCUCGCUAACAAAAUUGUAUCUCAUCAACUGGUUUCUUCAGUCUUAGGUCCCAACAUUGCAACGAAAUACCAAAAAAACAAAAUCUUGAUAUAAUGUUUCUCGCAAUUGAGAGAAGCCCACUGCUAGGCACAGAUAGGACCUAUUCAAAACUGAGGUUAAAAAUACGGAUUUGAACCUGUGAUUCUCGUUUUUACUGCCAAAAAAAUCCACUGGUAAAUAUAUUUCACCCACAUUGAUCAAAUAGCAAGCAUUACUUUUCUUCUUUUCCGGUUCAAAGAAUGAAAUAUAUAUUUGAACAUGCAAAAGUACAUGAAAUCAGCGUAUCUAAAAGACCACAACAUCAAUUUUUUUAAACAACUUAGGAAAAAAUUAUACGAGUGAAUCAACUUAUACAAUUACAAAUUAAUCAGAUCCAGAAGCUUCAGUCCCAUCAUCAUAUUUAUGAUCUUCCCAACUCAAAAAGGCAAACAGGAUGGUAUAAUGAAGUUUGAAGUGCAAAAUAUGGCUAUUGGAUAUUUUUGAGUCUACAGGUUUCAUUCACGCCAUAUUCAAAUUUAAAGAGAAGAAAGCAUCUACGGUCAGAGUGCCAUCAACAAAAAAACUGGCCACCAGUCUCUCUAAAUCUUACUAAUACCACCCGAUUAGUUUCAAACAUACCAAUAUUCUUACUAAUUUCAUAAUGACAGAACAUAAUAUGGCCGUGUCGAACACUAUUUCAUUUUUUUCUUGGAAGUAGAUAGAUCCCGCAAGUGAAUAUAAUUUCUCAGUGAAUCCGCAACGAACAAAAAUUCGAUACACUUAUAGAUAACCAUCGAUAAAAUUAAAACUGUCAAGCACAAUAGAGAAAAAGUGAGGAAAGAGAAUGACCGGUUUGGUUGAGGCAUAACAGGGCAUACAUAUUGGCGUCUGUCCAAUUUGUGAGAGUUGGAGGGACGACUCCUCGCUAAGUAUUUAAUAGCGCGAUGUUGUAGAGAUGGAAUAUCGUCGAUUAUGGUUGAGAUUGGCGACUAUCUGCUUGCUUAGUAUCCAGUAUUUUGAACCUCCUUCCUCUCGUUAUAAACUUGGAGACAACUAAAUUCGGGCUCUACAAAAUUAUAAAAGUAGACAUGAAAUAACAGCAUCUGUAUCUAAUAAGUUGAUAAGCAAAUAGGACACAGCUAUUAAAAAGAAGUUGAAACUGCUGAAGCUUUAACAAAGUCAAUCCGAGAAUGAGGCAGAUUUUGAUUUCUAAAGAGGAUAAACUAAACGUGGUAACUCUUAUUAAUCAUUGAUUAAAACAACAUUAAGACUUUUGGUAUAUGAACAUGGUUUUACCAUAACCAUUCCACAUAUUUAUUACUUUCUCCGUUACUAAAUAACUGGUGCUUUUAGCUUUGGCACACAUAAGGAACCAAAAAAGGAACACAUAUAAUACAGUUUUUAUGAUUACGGAAAAAAGCUCGAUGGAGUGUCGGAAGGGUGACCAGGGAUACAUUUUAACAACAGACACGACAUUAACCCUUUUCUAUGUGUUAUUCUGUCUUUGCAAGGAUACUACACAAGGAAUUCAUGCAAUUCAAGAAAAUUUCUAAUUUAUUCUCUAACUUUUGUUCUAUAUCUUCAUUACUCUACUGAAGUUUUCUUUUUCUGAACCUUUCUCUUUCAUUGAUUUACUGUCCCCUAAAAACUAAUUGGCGGGAGAGAAACUACAAAAACAUAUGACUACUUUCUUUUCAACAGUUUCAAAUAAAGGAACUUACAAGUUGAAUUCCUGAACGGAUAGUCUCGUCAAUAAUUUGGCUGAGCUUUAUAGUAGAAUUCUGUGAAGGAAUAUUGACAAUCACUGUAAUCUGAACAGAAAUUGCAAUGGUAUAAACUGUAGAUGUCUAAUCGCAUAAAAAAAUGUACCUUUUUUUACUGAGAAGUAACAACGCAUACAUGGUAGCCCUAACAGAGAAGAAGGGAGAUUGUUUGGAUGAAUCUGGUUCAAAGAGAGAAAAGGACACAAUUAUUCAUUGCUGUCUAUUCCGAAUUUUACAGCUCUAUUGUAUAGGUUGUAAAGAGUAGUAUAAAGUAUUUGGAAUUAAGAUGAACUGGGGGUAUUUUAGUAAUUUCAAUUUAAGAUUAGGGAGUUUAGUAUCUAUAUCUAUAAUCUAUAUCUAUAUUUAUAAUAUACUAGUUUAUGGUACUUGCUUUGCACAUGUGUAA
rnacentral:lncRNA from 1 species